ensembl:lncRNA
CAGGGUUUGGGUCUUUGAAGAAAUAUUUUCACUGGCUAAUUCCUAAUUCCUGUUCCAUUCUUUCCCUUCUGCUUGGAUUUGGAAUCAACACCUGGCCUUGUUCACAUGUUCCAGUCACCACGAUGUCUUCUGAAAGCACAGAAGACCAAAUAACCAUGAAUAGAACCCAGCGAAUCCAUGUACAAAACAAAUCCUUCCCCACUUAGGUUGUAUCAGUCAUGCCAACAAACGGUCACUGAUAUAUAGAGUUCUACCACCCUUGGGAUGAAGGGCUGGUACUGUGACUGCUAUGAAGAUCAAAUUGCUGCUUCAAAAAUGCCCCAACCUUACCUUACACUAGAGAUGGUGACACCAGUCUUGAAUGAGCUCCUGCCCUGGCGGAGGUGGGAGACGGAAUCACUGAAUGACUUCCUUCAGAUCUGCUCCCACCUUCAAGACAUAUGAACCUCUGAAGACAGGCAACUAUUUGUGUCUACUGAUUGGCAAGUGAAUGGAGAAGGUGUUGCUAAAGGCUGCUGAGAGACUAUUCAGUGGAGUGACAUGAGAUGUCUGACAGGAACCCAGGUGUGCUGCUUUCGGGACUUGAGUGCUUUCUCUGCAUCCCACUUGUUGCAUAGAUAUCUACGGUCACUGAAAGAAACAAGGACUCUGUCCAUCACAAUGGCGUGGGUUGGGGGCAGAAGUUCUAGAUCUUUGGUACGGGGAGGGAGGUGUUUCAUGCCCUCCAUCUCAACCCAAAUAUAAAGACUGCAUUGCUAUUUUAACAUUGGCUGCACUUCAAUGAGUUCUAGGCACUGUGUUUAGAAAGUCAUACACUGUAACACUUGCUACUCACAAAUCUUGAAAAGUGGAUGGCACCACGGCCCCUAAUUUAGCCACAAAGAAACAGAUAGAGAGUAAGAGACUUGUAAAAGGUAACAUGGUGUAGGGCCAGUGUGCUUGCCCUGCCCAUACCUGAAAUCCCCAGAUGCAACUGCAACAGAUUUCACUUCUGCAAUA